rnacentral:rRNA from 1 species
UGGGGAAUUUUGGACAAUGGGCGAAAGCCUGAUCCAGCAAUGCCGCGUGUGUGAAGAAGGCCUUCGGGUUGUAAAGCACUUUUGUCCGGAAAGAAAUCCUUGGCUCUAAUACAGUCGGGGGAUGACGGUACCGGAAGAAUAAGCACCGGCUAACUACGUGCCAGCAGCCGCGGUAAUACGUAGGGUGCAAGCGUUAAUCGGAAUUACUGGGCGUAAAGCGUGCGCAGGCGGUUUGCUAAGACCGAUGUGAAAUCCCCGGGCUCAACCUGGGAACCGCAUUGGUGACUGGCAGGCUAGAGUAUGGCAGAGGGGGGUAGAAUUCCACGUGUAGCAGUGAAAUGCGUAGAGAUGUGGAGGGAAUACCGAUGGCGAAGGCAGCCCCUGGGCCAAUACUGACGCUCAUGCACGAAAGCGUGGGGAGCAAACAGGGUUAGAUACCCUGGUAGUCCACGCCCUAAACGAUGUCAACUAGUUGUUGGGGAUUCAUUUCCUUAGUAACGUAGCUAACCGCGUGAAGUUGACCGCCUGGGGAGUAACCGGUCAGUCAAGCAUUAAAAACUCAAAUGGAAUUGACGGGGGUCAA